GUGACAACACUGCAGAUUGAAGUCCUGUGUUUAGCCACAGGACAAGUACAGCUCUGGCAGCAGCAGUGCCCAAAACUGCCCGCUCCCCCCGACUCCCAUCCCAGUGUGCCACAGUCUUAACCAGGGAUGGGAAUAUAGUUCAGUUUCCAUGACCCAUUCAAUCUGUGGUCUUA
rnacentral:sRNA from 1 species